UGGGGUGGAGCUCAGUGGUAGAGUGCUCGCCUACCAUGGGUGAGGCCCUGGGUUCAAUCCUCAGCACCACAU
rnacentral:tRNA from 1 species